GACGCUUUUCUCCAAAGCAACUUCCGAUGAACCUUAUGUAGUGUUACCAGCCCACACACCUUAUUCACCGCGGUGACUUACACUGCUAGAUACACUACUUACACUGGGUCACUCAUCCGUACAUCAGUGGAACACACACAUUAUGGGUGAACCUGAACAGCAUGUCUUUGGACUGUGGGAGGAAACACACAGAAAUGGGAGAACCUGCAAACUCCACACAGACUGUGCGGGGAUCGAACCCACGUCCUUUCACACCACCCAGGUGCCGUGAGACAGCAGCGCUACUCGCUGUGUGUUUUCUCCCAUGAAGCAGUUCUCAACAGCAGGAUGUCAUUUCAAGAGCACCUCGCGUUGCCUUAGAGCUCCGUUCAUAGUCCGGGUCGUUAUGUAUGAAAUAGUCCAUGACUUGCAUGAUCGCAGUGAUGCUGCAGAAAUUUUUCUCACUGGUAUUUCCUCUUCUGCCUCAGGGGCUGUGGAUUCAUUCUGGGACUGUUGCUCCUGCUAACUCUCCAAGUUCAUCAUUGCUAAGAAUUUCUCCAUGAGACUACAGCAAUUCCUGAAAAUCAUCCUCAUUAAUCCCCUCCAGUCCAGCUUUACUGACCAUUUGGCAGUAUUUUGGAUGACCAAAGCAAUGAACUAUUUGCAAACGUACACAGCAGAUAACCGUGUUCAUAAUGUUAUGGCAAAUAACGCUGUAACGAAAAGCACGAAGCUGGCCGGCGUUUCAGGUCAAGAUCAACAUGUCUUCCUCUACCUGUACUCUGCAAAACAAAAUGAAAGGCAAGUAGAAAGCAACAGUAUGCAAGUAAAAUGACCAUGGAACAACCUCCCUCUCUCACUCAGAACUGCUGAAUCUGCCUACAUUUAAAAACGGUCUUAAAACUCACCUUUUCCAGACUCACUUCGCUCAUGAUCUCAACUUCAUGUAAGCUGUAAAUGUUCAUGCACUAUAACUUUGAGAUGACGCCCGAAUAACCCGUUAUGCAACUGCUCCUGUAAUGUAACGUAAAUGUUUACAUGUAUCUCAAAAAAACAAAAAAUUACUAGGAAGGUGAUUAAGUUUUAUGCAGCUACUUGUGUGAUGAACAUUGAUUCAUAUGGUGGAAAGAAACUAACUGUACUUAAGAAUCACACGUCAGCAACUAUGUCUCUCUCUCCUAAUGUAAUGAGCACAUUGUAUUUUCUAUGAGAUGUGUGUUACUUUGAAGAAAAGCGUCCGUUAAAUGAAUAAAUGUAAAAGAGGUACCUUUGACA
rnacentral:lncRNA from 1 species